rnacentral:misc_RNA from 1 species
ACAAAAUUGGUAAGUAGCCCUAAGAUAUGUACUAAAGAGGGCAUUUGCGUAGAACUUAUAUGGAGCUAAACAGGAGUAAGCUAGGGAUAUUAUUGCCAUACUAGAAGAGAAGACCAUUUUUUAAGGGUAACUUGCCCCAAUGACAACUGCAAUUACUAAGAAGUAAAUAAUCAUAAAUUCCAAGAAUAACCAUUAUUAUGAAAUUGUAGUAAUAAUAAGAUUUUUAUUUGGUAAAUUAAAAU